GCAAAAGCUCAAAUUUGAAAUCUGACGUUCAUCUUGACGUUCGAGUUGUAAUUUGGAGGAGCGUUUUCGGGAACCGACGCCGUUCUAAGUUCUUUUGGAACUGGACAUCAUAGAGGGUGAGAAUCCCGUGCCUGGGCGGCAGUCCGGUUCCCAUACGAAGCGUUUCCGACGAGUCGAGUUGUUUGGGAAUGCAGCUCAAAAUGGGUGGUAAAUUUCAUCUAAAGCUAAAUACAGGCGAGAGACCGAUAGCGCACAAGUAGAGUGAUCGAAAGAUGAAAAGCACUUUGAAAAGAGAGUUAAACAGUACGUGAAAUUGUUGAAAGGGAAGCGCUUGAGAUUGAACGAUUGGACAGCAGGAUGGAGGCCGUGACGGGGUCCCCGGGCCUCGCCAACACCACCCUCCUUCCUCCCUCCAGCCACCAUCGGUUUUGGCGGCGAGAAAAACGACUGGGGAAUGUGGCUCCCCUCGGGGAGUGUUUAUAGACCUAGUCGACUUUGCGCCAGCUGGGACCGAGGCAAAUACGCGAGCCUUGGCUUAAACCCCCAAGAUGCUCAAGGAUGCGUGGCUUGUUGAUCUUAAGCGACCCGUCUU
rnacentral:rRNA from 1 species